rnacentral:rRNA from 1 species
UAAUUGAAGAGUUUGAUCAUGGCUCAGAUUGAACGCUGGCGGCAGGCCUAACACAUGCAAGUCGAGCGGCAGCGGGAAGUAGCUUGCUACUUUGCCGGCGAGCGGCGGACGGGUGAGUAAUGUCUGGGAAACUGCCUGAUGGAGGGGGAUAACUACUGGAAACGGUAGCUAAUACCGCAUAACGUCUUCGGACCAAAGAGGGGGACCUUCGGGCCUCUUGCCAUC